rnacentral:ncRNA from 2 species
UCUGCAAGUGCUCUCUGAGCCAUCGUUCCUAAACAGAUUUGCUUCUGCAUGGACUUUGGCCGGGGUCUGGCUUGAAAAGGCCCGGCCUCCCGGUAUUUGGAAAAGAGGACCUUCAUGCGGUUU